rnacentral:rRNA from 1 species
UACAGAGGGGGCAAGCGUUAUUCGGAAUUAUUGGGCGUAAAGGGUGCGUAGGCGGGUCUUUUAAGUCAGAGGUGAAAUCCUGGAGCUCAACUCCAGAACUGCCUUUGAUACUGAGAGGCUUGAGUCCGGGAGAGGUGAGUGGAACUGCGAGUGUAGAGGUGAAAUUCGUAGAUAUUCGCAAGAACACCAGUGGCGAAGGCGGCUCACUGGCCCGGUACUGACGCUGAGGUGCGAAAGCGUGGGGAGCAAACAGG